rnacentral:rRNA from 1 species
GAUGAACGCUGGCGGCGUGCCUAAUACAUGCGAGUCGAGCGAACAGACGAGGAGCUUGCUCCUCUGACGUUAGCGGCGGACGGGUGAGUAACACGUGGAUAACCUACCUAUAAGACUGGGAUAACUUCGGGAAACCGGAGCUAAUACCGGAUAAUAUAUUGAACCGCAUGGUUCAAUAGUGAAAGACGGUUUUGCUGUCACUUAUAGAUGGAUCCGCGCCGCAUUAGCUAGUUGGUAAGGUAACGGCUUACCAAGGCAACGAUGCGUAGCCGACCUGAGAGGGUGAUCGGCCACACUGGAACUGAAACACGGUCCAGACUCCUACGGGAGGCAGCAGUAGGGAAUCUUCCGCAAUGGGCGAAAGCCUGACGGAGCAACGCCGCGUGAGUGAUGAAGGUCUUCGGAUCGUAAAACUCUUUUAUUAGGGAAGAACAAAUGUGUAAGUAACUAUGCACGUCUUGACGGUACCUAAUCAGAAAGCCACGGCUAACUACGUG